UCUGGGAACAGCGUCCGCUCUCUGCUCUGACCUUCUGCAGCCCCUGGAGUCACAGAAUCCCACCCAGCGACACCGCCCAGCCUGGGCUUCACGUUUCCUCACACUGCCCACCAGGCAGCCCGGAUGGUUCUGGAACAGCUCAGGGAUGUUCCCGUGGAGUCAAGACCUCCCCGACUUCCCUCUCGAGUUACACCAAAUGCUGCUAGAAAGACUGCGGGUCAGGCAAGUUACUGCUGGCUUCUCGCCACUGCUGAGAAAGCUGACAUCAAAACAGACGGACAACCUCCUCGUCCCUGGGCUGGAACUCUCCUCAAAGGCUGUGGCAAAGAAAAGGCUUGAAGCCUUCAGCACUUCCUAGAGGGACUGAUGCUAAAGCACAGGUGGAACAUAUACCAGAAUCAUGCAAGUUACCGUCGAAAAGGGAUGGAAAGCGGGGAUAAUCAUUUGUAGUUGGUUUGUUCAAAUCAGGACCCAAUCAAGGUCCACGUGCUGCAUCUGACUGCUAUGUCUCUGAAGUCUCCUUUAAUCUAUGACGGAUGUUCACUAAACUUAUCGUGGCAAUCACUGCACGAUGUAGAAAUGCUGUGUCCCCAGCACUCUUGAUGGUACAGAGACAUCGAUGACCCUGAGCCAAAAGUGAUUCUGAAGAGUCAGCCUCUGAAAGCAACAACAUUUUAGGAAUAUCUUAAACAAUUCAUUUCACUUAUAUUUUCCCUUUUAUGUA